rnacentral:rRNA from 1 species
UGGGGAAUAUUAGACAUUGAGGACAAUCUGAACUAACCAAAGCGCCGGUGGUAAGAAGGCCUUCAGGUCGUAAAGCACUUUUUGCACGCGAUGGGAAGGAAUGUACUGCGAGAAUAAGUCUCGGCUAACUACGUGCCAGCAGCCGCGGUAACACGUAGGAGGCAAACGUUGUCCGGAUUUACUGGGCGUAAAGGGCGUGUAGGUGGUUCUGUAAGUAGGACGUGAAAGCUCCUGGCUCAACCGGGGGAGGCCGUUCGAAACUGCAGAGCUAGAGGAUGGUAGAGGGAGGUGGAAUUCCGGGUGUAGAGGUGGAAUGCGCAGAUAUUCGGAGGAACACCAGUGGCGAAAGCGGCCUCCUGGACCAUUCCUGACACUCAGACGCGAAAGCGAAGGUAGCAAACG